rnacentral:rRNA from 1 species
UACGAAGGGGGCUAGCGUUGCUCGGAAUCACUGGGCGUAAAGCGCACGUAGGCGGAUCUUUAAGUCAGGGGUGAAAUCCCAAGGCUCAACCUUGGAACUGCCUUUGAUACUGGGGAUCUCGAGUCCGGAAGAGGUUGGUGGAACUGCGAGUGUAGAGGUGAAAUUCGUAGAUAUUCGCAAGAACACCAGUGGCGAAGGCGGCCAACUGGUCCGGUACUGACGCUGAGGUGCGAAAGCGUGGGGAGCAGACGAGG